rnacentral:sRNA from 1 species
UUGAAGCACAACUGAGUUUUCAAGUGCUUCAACAUUUCUUUUUUACUUUUGUUACUGUUUUGAAUUCUGUUCCAGAGAUCCAACAUCUUUAUAAAGCUUUGUGUUUUUUUCUCCAGGACCAAAAAUAUUAUAGAAUGUAGGAGCUACUGAGUUCAUAAGCCCAUAGAAAGAGCAAACGAAAGCAUUGUGCUCGUGAAAAUUAGAUUUCCUUGAUUUUGGCAGCUAAAAGGACCGAAAGCACCACUUUUUCAAGCGCAUCAGUGACGUGCUGCCUUAACUAACUCAAUCACAAACCUAAAGAUAAAAACUUCAAAGAGCUUAAGAAUCAAAGACACUGACUAACUUGAAUAUUCCCACAGUUACGAUGGCUAUUAUUGGUUAAGAGUGGGGAUGGGUGUAUAUAUAGUGACGGCCACAUGUAGAAAACCCUAGUUGAUCACGGACUAAUGGGCUGAGUUUGUUAUUUCCUU